AUUGAACGCUGGCGGAAUACUUUACACAUGCAAGUCGAACGGCAGCACGGACUUCGGUCUGGUGGCGAGUGGCGAACGGGUGAGUAAUACAUCGGAACGUGCCCAGUCGUGGGGGAUCACGUAGCGAAAGCUACGCUAAUACCGCAUACGAUCUAAGGAUGAAAGCGGGGGGUCGCAAGACCUCGCGCGAUUGGAGCGGCCGAUGGCAGAUUAGGUAGUUGGUAGGGUAAAGGCCUACCAAGCCGACGAUCUGUAGCUGGUCUGAGAGGACGACCAGCCACACUGGGACUGAGACACGGCCCAGACUCCUACGGGAGGCAGCAGUGGGGAAUUUUGGACAAUGGACGCAAGUCUGAUCCAGCCAUUCCGCGUGCAGGAUGAAGGCCCUCGGGUUGUAAACUGCUUUUGUACAGAACGAAAAGGCUCUGGUUAAUACCUGGAGCUCAUGACGGUACUGUAAGAAUAAGCACCGGCUAACUACGUGCCAGCCGCCGCUGUAA
rnacentral:rRNA from 1 species